UGGCACAUCUCAAAAAAUUAGAGUAUUGUGGAAGUUCUAUAUAUUUUAACCCGGAAUUUCACAGAAUGCAAAUGUUAUACAUUAUACACUCAUUGCACACAAACUAAAAUGUUUCAAUGUUUUUAUUUUAAGUUUGAUAAAUAGACCUAUAGUUCCACAGCUUUUCUUGCUAAUCGUCUUGAGGCUGCGGUCAUCCCUGUUAGUCUAGGACCUAGCUUAGACAUGCAAGCACAUCAUUUAGGAGAGGAUACUCAACUGUUCUAGACUAAUAUGACCCGAAUGAACAAGUUUUACCA